ensembl:lncRNA
AUGGCGAACCCCAAUACUCCAAAGCUGAGGUUUAAUGAGUUCCUAGAACAAAAAAUUGAAUAUAGAUCAGGGGGACAGGAACAAUGGAAGCCUAUAAAGAAAGUUUGGGAGGGAUUGAAGUUAAAAUGGACACAAGCAGGUUAUCUAGGGGGGGGGCCGCCAACAGGGGCCCAGCUGAAAACGAUGGAAUGUGAGUUGAGAGGGACGUUACAGGAGGCCAGAGACAAGGAAGUAGAAAAUAACAAAAGUCACGUAUUUAAGAAAAAAGGGACUAAACAGAGAGAAAGGGCAGAAGUGGAACUGAAGAUAGGAACUUGGGCCAUCGAAGAGGCGCUAAAAGCACAACUGAAUAAAAAAACGGAAAUGAUGGGGGUGGCCACUCCCUCACAAGGGGAAGACGAGCAGACGGACCACCACCAGGAGAUGGCGCCAAAUCCAUUUCCCUCUGCCCCGCCAACACAUGUGCCCUCAACGACCCAACCCCUUUACCCAGUCCUCUCAAAUUUGCCUCCACCUUAUACUGAUAAGGGGAAAAGGGCCGGGCACGCGUCAACACAGGCCCCUGUGUUCCUUGUAAAAGAAGGAGUACUCCAAGGGGAUACGUUGAUCACAGGGGGCCACCUGGAGUGUGAAGAAUUAAAGCCUGGCCCACAGGGAUGCUCCACACCAGGGGGUGCACAAAAGUGCACACCAGGGCCAUCUGACAUGCAUGCCCCUCGAACUAUGCAAGAACAGCUCCGCCCCAGUGGCCACACGAGGAAUCCAUUCAUAAAUGGAGCAGGGGGCAACGGGAGCAGCCUGAAGUCAGAGGGGAGAGGAACCCCCACCUUCUGCACAUCCAGUGUGUACAGAGAACAUAGAGGGGAACCAAGGAGCGAUAUUAGUAAGGAGUAUUUCACAAGUGGCCGCCGACAAGAAGAAAAUUUAAUGUCUUUCAGCGAACCGGAAGAACAGGAAGGAGAGGAUAUGGAACCACAAGAGGAGACAGAGGAGGACGUUCCCCUCACGGCUGCAGGUGUAUGGGAGGCAGAAAGCCAACUGAAACUCAUGGAAGAAGUCGCAGAAGAAUCGGGUGAAAUAAUCCUGAUACAAGGAGUUUUUAAGGGAAAAUCAACCCCCGUUGAAACGGCAGUAAGACGGUCGAGGCGCAUCAUAGCCAGACAAAGGAGAGGAGGAGAAGAAGAAGCCCAAAGACAACAUGGGCCGUAUCAAAUGCCACUCAGGAUGGACGAAACAACCCACCGAGAGGAAUACGUUGCCUGGAAGAUGCACGAUUUAACGGCCCUGAUGGAACAGCUCCCGAGCUUACAUGGGGGUGCCUCAGCCUGGCUGCUUCAGCUUCAGUCCCUAACUUCCGGGGUCCGGCUUGCCUUGGGGGACAUGAAGGCCUUAUUGGCUAGGUCAACUGACUACACGACCAUGAAUGCCCUAAUAAACACAGCAGGACUGGGAAAAUUGGGGUCAGCAACAGAACCUGAGAAAUACAGAGUAUCACUGUGGAAUGAGCUCAGAAGGGCAUAUCCCACCGAAAAAAUUAUGCAACCCUUACCUCUUUUGCCAUGA